rnacentral:rRNA from 1 species
AGAGUUUGAUCAUGGCUCAGGAUGAACGCUAGCGGCAGGCCUAAUACAUGCAAGUCGAACGGUAAGUAGGAUAGCAAUAUUCUACCAAGAGUGACGCACGGGUGCGUAACACGUAUGCAACCUACCCUUUACAGGCGGAUAGCUCGGGGAAACUCGAAUUAACCCGCCAUAAUAUAAUUGGAUGGCAUCAUUUGAUUAUUAAAUCUGCGGAGGUAUAGGAUGGGCAUGCGUCUGAUUAGUUAGUUGGUAGUGUAACGGACUACCAAGACGAUGAUCAGUAGGGGAACUGAGAGGUUGAUCCCCCACACUGGCACUGAGAUACGGGCCAGACUCCUACGGGAGGCAGCAGUAGGGAAUAUUGGUCAAUGGGUGAGAGCCUGAACCAGCCAUGCCGCGUGCAGGAAGAAGGCCUUCUCAGUUGUAAACUGCUUUUGCCAGGGGAUAAAAAUACCUUGCGAGGUAAAUUGAAGGUACCUGGUGAAUAAGCCACGGCUAACUACGUGCCAGCAGCCGCGGUAAUUC